rnacentral:rRNA from 1 species
UACGAAGGGGGCUAGCGUUGCUCGGAAUCACUGGGCGUAAAGGGUGCGUAGGUGGAUAUUUAAGUCAGGGGUGAAAUCCUGGAGCUCAACUCCAGAACUGCCUUUGAUACUGGGUAUCUUGAGUUCGGGAGAGGUGAGUGGAACUGCGAGUGUAGAGGUGAAAUUCGUAGAUAUUCGCAAGAACACCAGUGGCGAAGGCGGCUCACUGGCCCGAUACUGACACUGAGGCGCGAAAGCGUGGGGAGCAAACAGG